UUUGUGAUCUCCCACAGCCCCCCCACUUGACAUUGCAGCGCCACCUUCACCCCCACCUCUGGUCCAUGUUGCCUGUUCUGUGUGAUUCUUUUAGUUCCUUUGCUGCUCACUGGAUCCUGGUGGGAACAAGUCCCCAAGUGGAGAGCAGAGCCAGAAGAUUGCUAUUAUCAUAGUAUGGGACCCACCCUCAAUAAUACUUACAGUGGCACUGGUGAUUCUCAUCUGUGUCCAGCAUUGAACAUCAAGGCAGUUUCCUCCAUAUUGAGAACUGAGGAUUGAUUUCCAAAGACUCAUGCUAUGUAAGGAAGCCAUCAAGAAGGGCAAAGAAAAGGAGCCAGGGAUGGCUCUUCCUCAGACAAUUCCAGAGCUUUUGAAUCAUGCCUCAGCCUUCCUGGCCUGUCUCCCUUCCAAAACCCGAAAAACAGAGGCGCUGGGCUCAAGACUGACUCAUAGUGUCCCGCCCUGGCCCCGCCCUCUGCCGGUUCUAAAGGGCAAAGUCUCUCCGGCUGGCGCCCCGCUUAGGCCUGCCCAGGCCCCGCCCACCUCCUCGUGGACCCCUCCCAGGCCUGGUUUCUGUCCUGCGCGCGCAGAUUCGCGCAAACCUGGAAGCGGACAGCGUGGAGUGAAGGUCUCCCCGCAGCGCGUGAGUUUCUCUCUGUCUUAUAUUAAGUCUGUGCGUCCCAGGUCCCCGGGGCUUCUGUAUCUGGGACGUGUUCCUUCACCUAGAGCAAAUUGAGACGUCCCUUUGAGAGUCCGGGGUUCACUUCCUUUUGGGUUUAAAAUCGCCUUGAAGCUGGUGCGGUCUCUGGUCUUGCUGCUAUAGGGCAAUGUAUACACUUUCUAUUGCGUAGUUUUCAUGCUCAAACCCUUUUUCUAACUCCUCACGCCCCGCGCUUUUUAAAGUCCUUACAGGUGAGGUGGAUUCCCGCCCUGGGCGCCUCCCACCCUCGCCUUCCAAUGCCCCUCCAGUACAGCGCCGUGCCCCCAUUCCCGCGGAGACUGCGUCCUCUGCCUUGUCCUGAGAUCCUGUAGACCCCACCAUUGUCUUAAGGCGCCAUCGACCCCCACCUUCCUCCUCGUGCCGGGCCCUGCUGCUCAACAGGUCUCCUCUCCGCCGUCACCGCUUCCCCCGAGCCCGCGUUGGGAAGGUGCCUGGGGCCUGUCCUGUGACACGGGGUGUUCUUGUCUGCCCAGCUCCAGCCCCUGGAAAAUGAGCUCCCCCGGGAUGCAGGCAUCUUACUCCAAACCCUCCUGUAAUUGUAUGGGCCAAAGGGAUCAGGAGAGAGAGAGCAGUAUAAAACCUGAGAUAAGAAAAGAAAGCAGGAGAAAAAAGUAACUGGAGAAAUGUAGAGAAAAGCUGGAUGUACAGAGAGAUGAAGGACAGCAAGGAAAGGAGGGGGCAGCAAAGAGGGAGGCUUGUCAGAGUGAGGGAGAGGAGGAGGGAUUUGGAGCCAGGGCAGACAGGGCAGAGUGGUGCUGGUGGCAAAGAGAACAGAGGGAGAACCACAGCAGGGAGGACAACUGUGGGUCUAGAGUGCUAUAAAGUGUGGACAGGGGGGUAUAACAGAGAAGAGAGAAUGUAACAGGGAGAGCAGAGGAGGCGCAGAGAUGGGAGAAGAGGCGGAAAUCUAUGGAGAUUGAGGGCAAUCCAAAGAUUGUGGGAGAAGGAACAAUAAGAAGUUAAAUAAGUUGCGAGGAUGAAGCAGAAGAGGUGGAAGAGAAGGAAUAAAGGGAAGAAGGGGAUAAACAGCAGGAGAGGGGAGGGGCAAAAAUGAGGCGUAGAAGCCCAGGGAAAAAGACAAGAAAACAAGAGCUAGAGAGAAGGUGAGAAUGAGAGAUAUGUACAGAAUUAGCGAGGGAAGCACAGUAAUGAAGACAAAGGGGCUGGGCGCAGUGGCUCACGCCUGUAAUCCCAGCACUAUAGGAGACUGAGACAAGGGGAUUGCUUGAGUACAGGAGUUCGAGCACAGCCUGGGCAACAUGAUGAGGCCCCCCCCCAAUCUCUGACCAAAAAAAAAAAAAAAAAAAAAAAAUUAACCGGGCGUGAUGGUGCGCACCUGUAAUCCUAGCUACUCUGGAGGCCGAUGUAGGCGGAAAACUUGAGCCCAGGAGGCCCAGGCUGCAGUGAGCCGAGAUCAUGCUACUGCACUCCAGCCUGGUCAAGAGUGAGACACUGUCUCAAAAGAAAAAAAGGAGCGGGGGACUUUGGGUACAGAUGAGUAGGUUAGUUCAUUGGAUAUUAUUAGUCGUGACAUGUUGACUUCUUUGUAUAUAAUCUAAUAACUUAAAACUUGUUUAAAUUAUACAAACAGCAGUGACUUAUUCAGUUGUGAGUCACUCUCUUGCCUUUUCCCAGGGUUGGGUAGGAAGUGGAGCAGUGAAGUGGGGGAAAAAAAUUGCUGUUAUUACAUACUUUUAAUUUAAUUAAUUAAUAUUUGGG
ensembl:lncRNA